CCUAUACGUUGCCUCGGCGGAUCAGCCCGCGCCCCGUAAAACGGGACGGCCCGCCCGAGGACCCCUAAACUCUGUUUUUAGUGGAACUUCUGAGUAAAACAAACAAAUAAAUCAAAACUUUCAACAACGGAUCUCUUGGUUCUGGCAUCGAUGAAGAACGCAGCAAAAUGCGAUAAGUAAUGUGAAUUGCAGAAUUCAGUGAAUCAUCGAAUCUUUGAACGCACAUUGCGCCCGCCAGUAUUCUGGCGGGCAUGCCUGUUCGAGCGUCAUUUCAACCCUCAAGCUCAGCUUGGUGUUGGGACUCGCGGUAACCCGCGUUCCCCAAAUCGAUUGGCGGUCACGUCGAGCUUCCAUAGCGUAGUAAUCAUACACCUCGUUACUGGUAAUCGUCGCGGCCACGCCGUUAAACCCCAACUUCUGAAUGUUGACCUCGGAUCAGGUAGGAAUACCCGCUGAACUUAAGCAUAUCA
rnacentral:rRNA from 1 species